GAUGAACGCUGGCGGCGUGCCUAAUACAUGCAAGUCGAGCGAACGGACGAGAAGCUUGCUUCUCUGAUGUUAGCGGCGGACGGGUGAGUAACACGUGGAUAACCUACCUAUAAGACUGGGGUAACUUCGGGAAACCGUAGCUAAUACCGGAUAAUAUUUUGAACCGCAUGGUUCAAAAGUGAAAGACGGUCUUGCUGUCACUUAUAGAUGGAUCCGCGCUGCAUUAGCUAGUUGGUAAGGUAACGGCUUACCAAGGCAACGAUGCAUAGCCGACCUGAGAGGGUGAUCGGCCACACUGGAACUGAGACACGGUCCAGACUCCUACGGGAGGCAGCAGUAGGGAAUCUUCCGCAACGGGCGAAAGCCUGACGGAGCAACGCCGCGUGAGUGAUGAAGGUCUUCGGAUCGUAAAACUCUGUUAUUAGGGAAGAACAUAUGUGUAAGUAACUGUGCACAUCUUGACGGUACCUAAUCAGAAAGCCACGGCUAACUACGUG
rnacentral:rRNA from 1 species